AGACCUGCUGGCAGUACAUUAAUCUGAGAGAGCAUGCAGCAAUACAUCCUCCAGACUCAAAGGGAAACAGACAGUGUUAUUUUGUUGAAAAAGGUGAAGAAAAUACUAGAGCUCCACAUUGCUCAGAUUUCUCAGUGGACCCCAAAGCAAUAAGGCUCCACAGAACACCAGUCGCUUCAGUUGUGUCCGACUCUGUGCCACCCAAUAGACGGCAGACCACCAGGCUCCCCCAUCCCUGGGAUUCUCCAGACAAGAACAGUGGAAGAGGGGAGAAAGUACCAAAUUACAGCGUUAAUUAAUGGUAGUGAAAUUCUUUGUCUUCUUCCUCACUGAGAAAUAUUUUGUCCCUGCUUAAGCCUGAUACUGGAUUUGGGCUGGGAUAUUAUUAUGAUAUUGAGUGCUUUUAAUAAGAAAGCUUUUGAUGUCAAAUGACUUUACAG
ensembl:lncRNA